GACGAACGCUGGCGGCGUGCUUAACACAUGCAAGUCGAGCGGCAAGUUUUGUAGCAAUACGAGACUGAGAGUGGCGUAAGGGUGCGUAACACGUAUGCAAUCUACCCUCAACAGGAGUAUAGCUCCCCGAAAGGGGAAUUAACACUCCAUAAUAUCUGAUCAUGGCAUCAUGGACAGAUUAAACUACCAGGGGUUGAGGAUGAGCAUGCGUCUGAUUAGCUAGUUGGCGGGGUAACGGCCCACCAAGGCGAUGAUCAGUAGGGGAACUGAGAGGUUGAUCCCCCANACUGGCAUUGAGAUACGGGCCAGACUCCUACGGGAGGCAGCAGUAGGGAAUAUUGGUCAAUGGGUGAGAGCCUGAACCAGCCAUGCCGCGUGC
rnacentral:rRNA from 1 species